rnacentral:lncRNA from 10 species
GGUUUAGUCCAUCAAACCUUUAUGAACACGUGUUCUGGGCCCUAUUGACCUAGGGGCCAAGGAUACAGAAACAAAUAAAACACAGCCCAGCCUUAAAGGAACCUAAAGUUUAGGUGACCUUUCUUUCCCACCAAAAAACAAAAAGGCAAACAAAAAGUUCGCAGAACUGUUAGACAGUAACAACACAGAAGCAGCAGAUCCUGAAUCUGUGCAGGUAGCACUCAUUUGAACUAAUAAUUGCUUUAGAAAUAUUUGGCUGGGCA